AUGGCGCCGUCCUAUGACAAGACCAUCGCGACGGCGGCCUCCCUCGCGGCGUCCCUCAUGUUGGUCCGCAGCCUGGCGAGCGAGCUGCUGCCGUCCGAGGCGCGGGACGCGCUCUCCUCGGCCCUCAACAGCCUCCGCUCGCGCAUGACAUGGCAGCACACCAUCGUGAUAGAGGAGACCGAGGGGUGGUCCGGCAACCGCGUCUAUGGCGCCGUCAAGGCGUACCUGGCCACGCGAACCAGCGCCACCCUCUCCAUGCAGCGCCUCCGCGUCAGCAGCUCCGACGAGGAGGGCCCCGACAGCAAGAUGGUGGUCAGCAUGGAGGCCGGCGAGGAGAUGGCGGGUGUGUACGAAGGCACCGAGUUCAGGUGGUACCUGGUGACCAGGGAGGUCAAGGGCGACCCGAACAACGGCAACGGCGGGGCGCGGGAGGUCCGGUCCUAUGAGGUGAGCUUCCACAAGCGCCACAAGGAGAAGGCGCUGAAAGAGUACCUGCCCUUCAUCGUUGCCGCCGCCAAGGCCAUCAGGGACCAGGAGCGGAGCCUCAACAUCUACAUGAACGAGUACGGCGACGAGUGGAACCCCAUCGACCUCCAGCACCCCUCCACCUUCGACACGCUCGCCAUGGACAUGAAGCAGAAGCGGGCCAUUGUUGAUGACCUCGACAGGUUCAUCAAGAGGAAGGACUACUACAGGAGGAUCGGCAAGGCGUGGAAGCGUGGGUACCUGCUGUACGGCCCGCCGGGCACCGGCAAGUCCAGCCUAAUCGCCGCCAUCGCCAACCACCUCAGGUUCGACAUCUACGACCUCGAGCUCACCGGGGUUGACUCUAACUCAGACCUCAGGAGGCUCCUCGUCGGGAUGACCAACCGGUCCAUUCUCGUGGUGGAGGACAUCGACUGCACCAUCGAACUCAAGCAGCGGGAGGAAGCCGACGAGGAACCUGCCACCAAGUCCAGUCCUACAGAGAAGAAGAAGGCAGAAGACAAGGUCACAUUGUCUGGGCUGCUCAAUUUUGUUGAUGGCUUGUGGUCGACAACUGGGGAGGAAAGGAUCAUCAUCUUCACCACCAACUACAAGGAGCGUCUCGACCCAGCACUCCUGCGGCCUGGCAGGAUGGACAUGCACAUCCACAUGGGGUACUGCACCACGGAGGCCUUCCGAAUCCUUGCCAACAACUACCAUUCCAUCAACUACCAUGCCACCUACCCAGAGAUUGAGGCGCUGAUCCAGGAGGUGACGGUGACGCCUGCAGAGGUCGCCGAGGUUCUGAUGAGGAACGACGACACUGAUGUUGCCCUCCAUGAUCUUGUCGAUCUUCUGAAGUUAAAGAAGAAAGAGGCCACUGAGAUCAAGUCUGAAAGUGUACGGGCGGGGGAGAAGAAAGAUGACAAAGGGGUGGUGCUGAAGAAUGAGUUCGCAGAAAACGGAAGCAGCUAG
rnacentral:rRNA from 1 species